rnacentral:rRNA from 1 species
CUGGAGGUAUCAGAAGUGCGAAUGCUGACAUAAGUAACGAUAAAGCGGGUGAAAAGCCCGCUCGCCGGAAGACCAAGGGUUCCUGUCCAACGUUAAUCGGGGCAGGGUGAGUCGACCCCUAAGGCGAGGCCGAAAGGCGUAGUCGAUGGGAAACAGGUUAAUAUUCCUGUACUUGGUGUUACUGCGAAGGGGGGACGGAGAAGGCUAUGUUGGCCGGGCGACGGUUGUCCCGGUUUAAGCGUGUAGGCUGAUUUUCCAGGCAAAUCCGGAAAAUCAAGGCUGAGGCGUGAUGACGAGGCACUACGGUGCUGAAGCAACAAAUGCCCUGCUUCCAGGAAAAGCCUCUAAGCAUCAGGUAACAUCAAAUCGUACCCCAAACCGACACAGGUGGUCAGGUAGAGAAUACCAAGGCGCUUGAGAGAACUCGGGUGAAGGAACUAGGCAAAAUGGUGCCGUAACUUCGGGAGAAGGCACGCUGAUAUGUAGGUGAAGCGACUUGCUCGUGGAGCUGAAAUCAGUCGAAGAUACCAGCUGGCUGCAACUGUUUAUUAAAAACACAGCACUGUGCAAACACGAAAGUGGACGUAUACGGUGUGACGCCUGCCCGGUGCCGGAAGGUUAAUUGAUGGGGUUAGCGGUAACGCGAAGCUCUUGAUCGAAGCCCCGGUAAACGGCGGCCGUAACUAUAACGGUCCUAAGGUAGCGAAAUUCCUUGUCGGGUAAGUUCCGACCUGCACGAAUGGCGUAAUGAUGGCCAGGCUGUCUCCACCCGAGACUCAGUGAAAUUGAACUCGCUGUGAAGAUGCAGUGUACCCGCGGCAAGACGGAAAGACCCCGUGAACCUUUACUAUAGCUUGACACUGAACAUUGAGCCUUGAUGUGUAGGAUAGGUGGGAGGCUUUGAAGUGUGGACGCCAGUCUGCAUGGAGCCGACCUUGAAAUACCACCCUUUAAUGUUUGAUGUUCUAACGUUGGCCCGUUAUCCGGGUUGCGGACAGUGUCUGGUGGGUAGUUUGACUGGGGCGGUCUCCUCCUAAAGAGUAACGGAGGAGCACGAAGGUUGGCUAAUCCUGGUCGGACAUCAGGAGGUUAGUGCAAUGGCAUAAGCCAGCUUGACUGCGAGCGUGACGGCGCGAGCAGGUGCGAAAGCAGGUCAUAGUGAUCCGGUGGUUCUGAAUGGAAGGGCCAUCGCUCAACGGAUAAAAGGUACUCCGGGGAUAACAGGCUGAUACCGCCCAAGAGUUCAUAUCGACGGCGGUGUUUGGCACCUCGAUGUCGGCUCAUCACAUCCUGGGGCUGAAGUAGGUCCCAAGGGUAUGGCUGUUCGCCAUUUAAAGUGGUACGCGAGCUGGGUUUAGAACGUCGUGAGACAGUUCGGUCCCUAUCUGCCGUGGGCGCUGGAGAACUGAGGGGGGCUGCUCCUAGUACGAGAGGACCGGAGUGGACGCAUCACUGGUGUUCGGGUUGUCAUGCCAAUGGCACUGCCCGGUAGCUAAAUGCGGAAGAGAUAAGUGCUGAAAGCAUCUAAGCACGAAACUUGCCCCGAGAUGAGUUCUCCCUGACUCCUUGAGAGUCCUGAAGGAACGUUGAAGACGACGACGUUGAUAGGCCGGGUGUGUAAGCGCAGCGAUGCGUUGAGCUAACCGGUACUAAUGAACCGUGAGGCUUAACCUU